GACCAGGAUGGAAAUGGUAGGCUGACUUGCUCCCUGCUGUAUUGUUUGCUGGGCAUGUGGGAAAUUUUUGGUUUGCUGUUCUGGAAGUUCAUCAGCAGGACACAGAGUGACAAUCUGUAGGUGCUCCCAGAACUUGUUCACAGCUGCCAAAGGAAAUACUGCUGCUUCUGGAAAGGAAGUAUGGACAUACUCAAAAUACCCACAUACGUUCCCGCUGCAACCCCUGCUCAUGAUGAAAGCCCUUCCAGUCUGGGUUGAUCAAAAGUUUGCCUCAUACAAGCCUGAUUAUUCCACUAGAGAUGAUGUGAGACCAGUCCCGGAAAUAUGUUUUGAGCUUAUUAAAAGGCUUUCUUAAAACUGGCACAUACAAGCAAUGAUCAAUGAGUGCCUGGCACCAGUACACUGAACCACAUUGUGCCAGGCAUAAUAAUUGAUGUUGACUGAAUACUUACAGCAUUAAGCAAUGGUUCAUUUAAUUAAAAAAAAAAGGGGGCUUUGGAAAAUACUUUAAAGCGGAGGUGGUAAGUAAAAUACUGUACAACAAAUAUCAUCUAAGCUUUGACUUAACAUAAAUCUGUCAUUUCGAAAGGAUGAGAGCCAGUGAUAAAAGGCAGUUAAUUAGG